rnacentral:rRNA from 1 species
CGUGUAGGCGGGGAUGUAAGUCAGAUGUGAAAUAUCCAGGCUUAACUUGGAUGCUGCAUCUGAAACUAUGUUUCUUGAGUGCCGGAGAGGAAAGCGGAAUUCCCAGUGUAGCGGUGAAAUGCGUAGAUAUUGGGAGGAACACCAGUGGCGAAGGCGGCUUUCUGGACGGUAACUGACGCUGAGGCGCGAAAGCGUGGGGAGCAAACAGGAUUAGAUACCCUGGUAGUCCACGCUGUAAACGAUGGAUACUAGGUGUAGGAGGUAUCGACCCCUUCUGUGCCGCAGUUAACACAAUAAGUAUCCCACCUGGGGAGUACGGCCGCAAGGUUGAA